GACGAACGCUGGCGGCGUGCUUAACACAUGCAAGUCGAGCGGUAAGGCCCUUUCGGGGGUACACGAGCGGCGAACGGGUGAGUAACACGUGGGUGACCUGCCCUUAGCUCUGGGAUAAGCCUGGGAAACUGGGUCUAAUACCGGAUAUGACUCCAUGACGCAUGUUGUGGGGUGGAAAGCCUUGUGCGGCUAGGGAUGGGCCUGCGGCCUAUCAGCUUGUUGGUGGGGUGAUGGCCUACCAAGGCGACGACGGGUAGCCGGCCUGAGAGGGCGACCGGCCACACUGGGACUGAGACACGGCCCAGACUCCUACGGGAGGGCAGCAGUGGGGAAUCUUGCGCAAUGGGCGAAAGCCUGACGCAGCGACGCCGCGUGGGGA
rnacentral:rRNA from 1 species